rnacentral:rRNA from 1 species
GCGGGAUGAAGGCCUUCGGGUUGUAAACCGCUUUCAGCAGGGACGAAAUUGACGGUACCUGCAGAAGAAGCCCCGGCCAACUACGUGCCAGCAGCCGCGGUAACACGUAGGGGGCGAGCGUUGUCCGGAUUUAUUGGGCGUAAAGAGCUCGUAGGCGGUUUCGUUAGUCGGGUGUGAAAACCCCAGGCUCAACCUGGGGACGCCACCCGAUACUGCGAUGACUAGAGUCCGGUAGGGGAGUGUGGAAUUCCUGGUGUAGCGGUGAAAUGCGCAGAUAUCAGGAGGAACACCAACGGCGAAGGCAGCACUCUGGGCCGGAACUGACGCUGAGGAGCGAAAGCGUGGGUAGCGAACAGGAUUAGAUACCCUGGUAGUCCACGCCGUAAACGUUGGGCACUAGGUGUGGGAUCUUUCCAACGGAUUCCGUGCCGUAGCUAACGCAUUAAGUGCCCCGCCUGGGGAGUACGGCCGCAAGGCUA